rnacentral:piRNA from 1 species
UCUAACUCUACAGAAAUUCUUUG